AAACUCUGUUGUUAGAGAAGAACAAGGAUGAGAGUAACUGUUCAUCCCUUGACGGUAUCUAACCAGAAAGCCACGGCUAACUACGUGCCAGCAGCCGCGGUAAUACGUAGGUGGCAAGCGUUGUCCGGAUUUAUUGGGCGUUCAGCAAA
rnacentral:rRNA from 1 species